UACGUAGGUGGCGAGCGUUGUCCGGAUUUAUUGGGCGUAAAGCGCGCGCAGGCGGUCCCUUAAGUCUGAUGUGAAAGCCCACGGCUCAACCGUGGAGGGUCAUUGGAAACUGGGGGACUUGAGUACAGAAGAGGAAAGUGGAAUUCCACGUGUAGCGGUGAAAUGCGUAGAGAUGUGGAGGAACACCAGUGGCGAAGGCGACUUUCUGGUCUGUAACUGACGCUGAGGCGCGAAAGCGUGGGGAGCAAACAGG
rnacentral:rRNA from 1 species